ensembl:lncRNA
UGCUUUGUUGGUUGAAACCAAGGUGCUUUGUUGGUUGAAACCAAGGUGCUUUGUUGGUUGAAACCAAGGUGCUUUGUUGGGUGAAACCAAGGUGCUUUUUUGGGUGAAACCAAGGUGUUAUGUUGGUUAAUACCAAGGUGUUAUGUUGGUUAAUACCAAGGUGUUAUGUUGGUUGAAACCAAGGUGCUUUGUUGGUUGAAACCAAGGUGCUUUGUUGGUUGAAACCAAGGUGCUUUGUUGGGUGAAACCAAGGUGUUAUGUUGGUUAUUACCAAGGUGAUUUGUUGGUUGAAACCAAGGUGCUUUGUUGGGGAAACCAAUGUGCUUUGUUGGGUGAAACCAAGGUGCUAUGUUGGUUGAUACCAAGGUGCUUUGUUGUUCGAAACCAAGGUGCUUUGUUGGUUGAAACCAAGGUGCUUUGUUGGGUGAAACCAAGGUGUUAUGUUGGUUAAUACCAAGGUGUUAUGUUGGUUAAUACCAAGGUGUUAUGUUGGUUGAAACCAAGGUGCUUUGUUGGGUGAAACCAAGGUGUUAUGUUGGUUAAUACCAAGGUGUUAUGUUGGUUAAUACCAAAGUGUUAUGUUGGUUGAAACCAAGGUGCUUUGUUGGGUGAAACCAAGGUGUUAUGUUGGUUAAUACCAAGGUGUUAUGUUGGUUGAUACCAAGGUGCUUUGUUGGGUGAAACCAAGGUGUUAUGUUGGUUGAUACCAAGGUGCUUUGUUGGUUGAAACCAAGGUGCUUUGUUGGUUGAAACCAAUGUGCUUUGUUGGGUGAAACCAAGGUGUUAUGUUGGUUAAUACCAAGGUGUUAUGUUGGUUGAUACCAAGGUGUUAUGUUGGUUAAUACCAAGGUGUUAUGUUGGUUAAUACCAAGGUGUUAUGUUGGUUAAUACCAAGGUGUUAUGUUGGUUAAUACCAAGGUGUUAUGUUGGUUAAUACCAAGGUGUUAUGUUGGUUAAAUACCAAGGUGUUAUGUUGGUUGAUACCAAGGUGUUAUGUUGGUUGAUACCAAGGUGCUUUGUUGGUUAAUACCAAGGUGCUAUGUUGGUUGAUACCAAGGUGCUUUGUUGGUUAAUACCAAGGUGUUAUGUUGGUUAAUACCAAGGUGUUAUGUUGGUUGAUACCAAGGUGUUAUGUUGGUUAAUACCAAGGUGUUAUGUUGGUUGAUACCAAGGUGUUAUGUUGGUUAAUACCAAGGUGUUAUGUUGG